rnacentral:rRNA from 1 species
UACGUAGGGUGCAAGCGUUGUCCGGAAUUAUUGGGCGUAAAGAGCUCGUAGGCGGUUUGUCGCGUCUGCUGUGAAAACUCGGGGCUUAACCCUGGGCCUGCAGUGGGUACGGGCAGACUAGAGUGCGGUAGGGGAGACUGGAAUUCCUGGUGUAGCGGUGAAAUGCGCAGAUAUCAGGAGGAACACCGGUGGCGAAGGCGGGUCUCUGGGCCGUACCUGACGCUGAGACGCGAAAGCGUGGGGAGCGAACCGG